GCUUGGAAAAUUUGUAGAGGAAAUCGCCAUCUAUGUAGGGUUCUUCCUUGUUUCGAGUCCCGAUCUCCUCUCUCAAUCUCAGUCUUCAGCUUCCGAAUUGACUUUCAACAAGAAGACGUCGACAUCUGAUGAACCUAAGCCAAAGAGACUUAGAAAGGCCAAGGAUACGAAGACGAGCUCUUCUAUCUUAAACAUGCCCUAACAACCUCUUACGGCUUCUUUAUCUUCAUGAAUGAAUUCUGUCAUUCUUUUAGACGAGAGCAUCUAAGUUCUCUCAUUAAGGAUGUUUCAAAGAUCGGUGGUGAAAAGUGGAAUUCUAUGACUGGGGAAUUGAGUUGCUUUAUUAUCUUGUUUAUUCUUUAGUUUCAUGGUGAUUUGUUUACUCUUUGUACUUUGAGAUAUUAGUACUCUUGUUGUGUAUAAGAGUAGUAGUUGAAUUUUUGUAUAAGACUUGUUAUAUAUGUUUUUAAUAAUUUAUGUAAUAAAAAUAAA